UACGAAGGGGGCUAGCGUUGUUCGGAAUUACUGGGCGUAAAGGGCGCGCAGGCGGCCCUCCAAGUCAGGCGUGAAAGCCCCGGGCUCAACCCGGGAAUAGCGCUUGAGACUGGGGGGCUUGAGUUCGGGAGAGGAGAGUGGAAUUCCCAGUGUAGAGGUGAAAUUCGUAGAUAUUGGGAAGAACACCGGUGGCGAAGGCGGCUCUCUGGACCGACACUGACGCUGAGGAGCGAAAGCGUGGGGAGCGAACAGG
rnacentral:rRNA from 1 species